UACGUAGGUGACAAGCGUUGUCCGGAUUUACUGGGCGUAAAGAGCGCGCAGGCGGUCGUUCAAGUCGGGUGUGAAAGCCCCCGGCUCAACUGGGGAGGGUCAUUCGAUACUGAUCGACUUGAAGGCAGGAGAGGGAAGUGGAAUUCCCGGUGUAGAGGUGAAAUUCGUAGAUAUCGGGAGGAACACCGGUGGCGAAGGCGGCGACCUGGGUCGACACUGACGCUGAGGCGCGAAAGCGUGGGGAGCGAACAGG
rnacentral:rRNA from 1 species